rnacentral:rRNA from 1 species
AGGACGAACGCUGGCGGCGUGCUUAACACAUGCAAGUCGAGCGGAAAGGCCCUUCGGGGUACUCGAGCGGCGAACGGGUGAGUAAUACGUGAGCAACCUGCCCUUAGCUCUGGGAUAGCUCCGGGAAACCGGAAUUAAUACCGGAUAUGACCUAGGCCGACAUCGGCCGUGGUGGAAAGUUUUUCGGCUAGGGAUGGACCCGCGGCCUAUCAGCUAGUUGGUGGGGUAAUGGCCUACCAAGGCGACGACGGGUAG